GACAUUGGUGAGAGCAGAGGAGGAGAUCAGGAGUAAAGAGUUAAGGAGGAGAUUUUGAUUUCAAAAGAUUUAGUUUAGCAAGGUAUCUAAACCUUAAUUCAUCUUUCUCUAUUUAAUAUUAAUGUAAAUUCUGUUUUUUUAAUUGCUUUUAAUGGAGAUACCUUAGUCCUUACUCGCGUGAUCCUUUCUCCUAUUCCUUUUCACUGCUAGUUUUAUAAACAAAUGAACAACUUCACAUAAUAAGAUGGCAGCAUCUACUUUAUUGGUGUGGGAUUUUGUAUUUCACCCAAAUUCAUAUUAUUUAGGGUUAGGGUUCCCGGCUACAAUUUGGGGCUUCUUGAUUGUUGUUGGUAAUUAAAUGAAUGAAAGGUGGGAUUUGUCUUGUUCGGAGGAAGGAUACGCUGUGAGAGAUUGACGGAAGAGAAGGGAGGCCGGAGCCAGCCACGGCGUUGCCGUCGGCAUCGGUUCGCGGCGGUAACAAGGCUGCAGUAGAGAGAGAGAGAGGGGGGGGGGUUGGAUUGGAGAGGAGAGGAAGGUGGCAGCCGUCGGAGAUAUUACCGGCCGGCAGUGGUGGUGUUGGAUUGUGGAGGAAAAGAGCAGAGAUGAGGGAGAAGGGAAGUUUAGUAAUUUAAUUAAAAAAAAAAACGGGUUCUGAUAAAUAAGCUGCUGUGCAUGAAUUUGAUGUUGAAUCGUAAAAUAAAAUUCAUAUUUGGAUUCCUUGUGAAAAAUUAGAUGGAAUGGACUCUAGAAUCACAUGAUUUGGAUGAAAAAUGAGAGAGUAAUGCUUGGUCAAAGUUUGGCCAUGAGUGUUGACUUCGGGGAGAGAGAAAAUGAGAUGGGUGUGUUGGAGAAGAUGAUGACGUGGCAGUUUGUGAUUGGCUAGAAUAUUGAAAAUUGGUAUUUAAUUAAUUUGAGGGAUUAAACGAGGGAAUUAGUAAAAGUGUAAAACAUGAAAGUUUAAGUAAAUAUUAUUUCGGAUUUAAUGGUGGAGCCUAAUGUUGGGUACAAGAGAUAUUAAAUAAAUUUAUUAGUGAAUUUAAGUUAAUAAUUGAAUAAAAAGGGGUUAUUUAGAAUAAUAAGAUUCUGGGGUAAUAACAUGAGUUAGUAACAAAUAUUUUACUUAAAUCAAUAAUAAAUGAGAAACGAUCUAAGUAAAUAUUAAAUGGGGAAUUAUAAGUAGAUUUUACGUGAUCAUCAUUUUAAGACAAGAUUUCUAAAUUUAUUAUUUUGUGACAUAGAAGAUUGAUUAUCUGGAAGACGAGCUUGAUUAUUCAACUUAAAUUGGAACGUGGUGCACUGUAAGUAUAUACUGUACCCUUCACUGUGGAUAUCUUGCGAUGUUUUGAUGAAUAUUUUAUUGAUGAUUUUCUGAUGAGAAAUGAGUAUUCUUGCAUUGAUACCUGAUGAACUGAUGAUGAUGCUUCCUUAUUGGAAGUAAAGCUAAACCAAUUGUUUAGCUGGCCGGGAUCCCAACUUGAUGAAUUGAUGAACUUAUCGUGCUUGAAUACUCAUACUCAUACUCAUCUUGGUGUGUGAAACUGUUUUGAUGACUCUGAUGAAAUAUUGAUUUGCUUCACCAAGUUUUGUGAAUAAAACUCAGUUGAAAUGUACAUAUAUGCUUACUGAGCUUUAUGAGCUCAUUCCUUUGUAUGUACUAACUUUACAGGAAAGAAUUCUGGAGAAGAAUAUUCAGGCAAGGAUAAAAGUGUGAUGAAAUGAAGUGCUAGACUUGGUUGGAUUUGCAAGUAGAAGUUUAGUAGAAGUAUUAUGUAAUCGAAAGAAAUAUUAGUGAACUUUUAGAAGAGUGAUGUAAGACUCUGAUGUAAGGUAAAAUAUGCUUUUAAAUUAUAUCAAGUUUAUGAUUAUAAAGAUAUAUUUCGGUGUGUUCAGUAGAAUGGCACCCCCGGGUCGGGUUGCUGAGGUCAUCCCGGGCCGGGGGCGUCACAGGUGGUGUCAGAGCUUCAGGUUAUAAGUUAUUGAAAUCAGAAUACAGGUGGUAUCAGAGCUAUAGGUUCGAGAAUCGGCAAAAGUUGGAUUAAGACUUUAGACUAGUGUGAUUUUAAGUUAGAAAAGAGGUUUAGGGGAUAUAUGAAUCUUAGUUGUGAAUGUGUGGAUAAACUAUGUGUUUAGUACUUACUAUAGUUGGAACCCCUAGAGUCAAAGGGACUGUAGAUCCCGUUGGGGCCCAGAUAUGGCUAAGAGAAAUAAAGAAGACUUUUGGAAUAGUUGGGUGGAAAAGGAUAAGAAAACUAUCUUGAUGCUAAUAUGCUUAAUGGAGAGGCUAAUUAUUGGUGGGAGGCUAAGCAAGCUAUAUAAGAGUCUAGUGUGAUAUAGAAAUAGCUGACUAGGAAGUAAUUAUAGUAGAUCAAGUUUGUCCAAGUUGUGUAAUAACCGUUCAAAAUAAAAUCUUUGAGAAAAAUGUUAUUUCCUUGAUAUUUCUUCAAUCCGAUUGGGAUGAACAACCCUAAUUAUAGGGGACACAAGGUAUACCUGUCUAUGUGAUAGGAGUUAGAUGGGACGCCAUCACUUGUGUGUGUUGUGAUUACAAGAAGGUUAACAACCUUUAGUAGUGUCUUAAUUUGGACACGCAACACUUAGUUCAUUUGAUCAUAUUGGUCUCCCAAUCAUCCUUUUAUUUUAAAUGAAAUCUAUUUUGAAACCUCUGUGAUCGGUGAUUACCACUGUGAAAGAAUUCUAUCGAAGAAAGUUUUUGAAAUUCUUAUUUCCUUUGAGUUCUUCUCAAAAUACUCAUAUUUCAAAUUCUUUGAUUUUGUUCUUUUCAAAAAUACGAUUCUUCUUUUAAAAAUGUUUUAGGAAGGUGUUGUAUGGUGACGUCAGAUAUAGACCCCCGGAUUUGAAGGAUGCCACAUCGAUUAUUACGAGUUAAAUAAUACGAAAUUUUCCCUAGGGCUGAUGAUUUGUUUGACCAAUUGAAGGAAACAUCUUACUUUCUAAGAUAGACUUGAGAUCUGAAUACCAUCAAUUAAAGAUCAGGCCUAAAAAUGUACCUAAGAUGGUCUUUAGGACCCGACAUGAACAUUGUGAAUUUUUAAGAGAUGUUUUUGGAUUGAUUAAUGCAUCCAUAGUAUUUAUAGAUCUUAUGAACAUGAUGUGUUCUUAUGAAACAUGGAAAAGUGAUAGCAUAUGCUUGUAGACAACUUAAGAACCACAAAUUGAGAUAUCCUACUCAGGACCUAAAAUUAACUACUAUAGUAUCUGUUUUAAAGAUUUGGCGACCUUAUUUGUAUGGUGAGAAGUGUGAGAUAUUACUUAUCAUAAGAGUUUAAAAUACUUGUUUACUCAAAAAGAGUUAAAUAUGAGACAAAUGAGAUGGUUAGAAUUGAUAAAGGACUAUGAGGGUACGAUUAACAAUCGCCCAUGGAAAGCCAAUGUUGCUAAUGCAUUAAUAGAAAAGAAAGAGUUAAUGUUAUGUUUUUAUCAAAGGAAUUGAUUCAGGAAAGGGAAAAGCUAGGAUUAGAAGUUAAGAAUUCAAAGCAUAAGGAGGGAAGGAUUUAUGAGAAGUUAGUGCAACCAGAGUUAAUCGAAAGAAGUUACGUGGGAAUUAGAAGAUGUAAUGAGAAAAAGCUACCAAUAGUUGUUUAGCAUUAAUCGGGAUUCCGAGGACGAAAUCCUUUAAGGAGGGAAGAAUGUAACACCCGUGAAAUUCACAGAUACGUAAAAGAAAUGCGUUUAUUUAAUUUAAUUAUUUAUUGUGCGAAAAGACUAUUUAUUAGUCUCAUAGUUAAUAAAAAAUAAUGAUGCAGGAGUAUUAAUUAAGAUAUUAUAGUUUCGAGAAUGCUAGAAAACAUGUGGGUUAUAUUGUGUGGGAUGGUAAUGUUUAGAUAUGUACGUUAAACCGAGAGCUGCGUUUAUACAAAAAUCUAUUAGACGUGAAUAAUUAUGUAUUUAAUGACUCACGAGUAAAUAAUACGUCUUAAUUGAGAUGGUUAUUUUAUCUCGAUUAUUUUAUAAAGUUGAGGAUUAAUCAGAGAAUAUUAUAAGUAAUAAUUUAUUUAAUUUUGGUGUUCAAUAUUUCAUUAUUUACGUAAAUAUUUUUGAUAAUUAAAGACCGAAAUGAGUAAAUGAUCACGUUAUUAGAACCUGGUUCAGGAAUAAUAAUUCAUAAACGAAACAAAUUAUGGAGGCUCGUAGCGUUACUUGGCACCCAAGUAAUCCAAAUUGGUGACCAAGCAACCUAGUAAUUAGUAGUUAGUUAAUUACACCAUUAAGGAACUAAUUGUGAUUAAUAAUUGCUAUAAAAAGCCAAAAGAUAGCUACUUUCGUUUUCUUUAUAUACAUAAAAUAAGAGACAUUGGUGAGAGCAGAGGAGGAGAUCAGGAGUAAAGAGUUAAGGAGGAGAUUUUGAUUUCAAAAGAUUUAGUUUAGCAAGGUAUCUAAACCUUAAUUCAUCUUUCUCUAUUUAAUAUUAAUGUAAAUUCUGUUUUUUUAAUUGCUUUUAAUGGAGAUACCUUAGUCCUUACUCGCGUGAUCCUUUCUCCUAUUCCUUUUCACUGCUAGUUUUAUAAACAAAUGAACAACUUCACAUAAUAAGAUGGCAGCAUCUACUUUAUUGGUGUGGGAUUUUGUAUUUCACCCAAAUUCAUAUUAUUUAGGGUUAGGGUUCCCGGCUACAAUUUGGGGCUUCUUGAUUGUUGUUGGUAAUUAAAUGAAUGAAAGGUGGGAUUUGUCUUGUUCGGAGGAAGGAUACGCUGUGAGAGAUUGACGGAAGAGAAGGGAGGCCGGAGCCAGCCACGGCGUUGCCGUCGGCAUCGGUUCGCGGCGGUAACAAGGCUGCAGUAGAGAGAGAGAGAGGGGGGGGGGUUGGAUUGGAGAGGAGAGGAAGGUGGCAGCCGUCGGAGAUAUUACCGGCCGGCAGUGGUGGUGUUGGAUUGUGGAGGAAAAGAGCAGAGAUGAGGGAGAAGGGAAGUUUAGUAAUUUAAUUAAAAAAAAAAACGGGUUCUGAUAAAUAAGCUGCUGUGCAUGAAUUUGAUGUUGAAUCGUAAAAUAAAAUUCAUAUUUGGAUUCCUUGUGAAAAAUUAGAUGGAAUGGACUCUAGAAUCACAUGAUUUGGAUGAAAAAUGAGAGAGUAAUGCUUGGUCAAAGUUUGGCCAUGAGUGUUGACUUCGGGGAGAGAGAAAAUGAGAUGGGUGUGUUGGAGAAGAUGAUGACGUGGCAGUUUGUGAUUGGCUAGAAUAUUGAAAAUUGGUAUUUAAUUAAUUUGAGGGAUUAAACGAGGGAAUUAGUAAAAGUGUAAAACAUGAAAGUUUAAGUAAAUAUUAUUUCGGAUUUAAUGGUGGAGCCUAAUGUUGGGUACAAGAGAUAUUAAAUAAAUUUAUUAGUGAAUUUAAGUUAAUAAUUGAAUAAAAAGGGGUUAUUUAGAAUAAUAAGAUUCUGGGGUAAUAACAUGAGUUAGUAACAAAUAUUUUACUUAAAUCAAUAAUAAAUGAGAAACGAUCUAAGUAAAUAUUAAAUGGGGAAUUAUAAGUAGAUUUUACGUGAUCAUCAUUUUAAGACAAGAUUUCUAAAUUUAUUAUUUUGUGACAUUAAAGAUUGAUUAUCUAGAAGACGAGCUUGAUUAUUCAACUUAAAUUGGAACGUGGUGCACUGUAAGUAUAUACUGUACCCUUCACUGUGGAUAUCUUGCGAUGUUUUGAUGAAUAUUUUAUUGAUGAUUUUCUAAUGAGAAAUGAGUAUUCUUGCAUUGAUACCUGAUGAACUGAUGAUGAUGCUUCCUUAUUGGAAGCAAAGCUAAACCAAUUGUUUAGCUGGCCGGGAUCCCAACUUGAUGAAUUGAUGAACUUAUCGUGCUUGAAUACUCAUACUCAUACUCAUCUUGGUGUGUGAAACUGUUUUGAUGACUCUGAUGAAAUAUUGAUUUGCUUCACCAAGUUUUGUGAAUAAAACUCAGUUGAAAUGUACAUAUAUGCUUACUGAGCUUUAUGAGCUCAUUCCUUUGUAUGUACUAACUUUACAGGAAAGAAUUCUGGAGAAGAAUAUUCAGGCAAGGAUAAAAGUGUGAUGAAAUGAAGUGCUAGACUUGGUUGGAUUUGCAAGUAGAAGUUUAGUAGAAGUAUUAUGUAAUCGAAAGAAAUAUUAGUGAACUUUUAGAAGAGUGAUGUAAGACUCUGAUGUAAG
rnacentral:lncRNA from 1 species